rnacentral:rRNA from 1 species
AUUGAACGCUGGCGGCAUGCCUUACACAUGCAAGUCGAACGGCAGCACGGGUGCUUGCACCUGGUGGCGAGUGGCGCACGGGUGAGUAAUACAUCGGAACAUGUCCUGUAGUGGGGGAUAGCCCGGCGAAAGCCGGAUUAAUACCGCAUACGAUCUACGGAUGAAAGCGGGGGACCUUCGGGACUCGCGCUAUGGGGUUGGCCGAUGGCUGAUUAGCUAGUUGGUGGGGUAAAGGCCUACCAAGGCGACGAUCAGUAGCUGGUCUGAGAGGACGACCAGCCACACUGGAACUGAGACACGGCCCAGACUCCUACGGGAGGCAGCAGUGGGGAAUUUUGGACAAAGGGCGAAAGCCUGAUCCAGCAAUGCCGCGUGUGUGAAGAAGGCCUUCGGGUUGUAAAGCACUGUUGUCCGGAAAGAAAAACUGGGCCCUAAUACAGGCGGGGGAUGACGGUACCGGAAGAAUAAGCACCGGCUAACUACGUG